GAUCUCCGAUAUCAGUGGCCUUGAACUUCUCCUUUGCACAAAGAAGAAAACAGAGGUAAGGAGUGGUGGGGCUAUCCCCAGAGCAGAGCAGAGAUGACAGUCUUUUGGCCCUCCCUCCUCCCAGGACUGUCCCUAUGAGUGAUGCUCCAUCCUUUCCCCCUCUGGAAGUUGUUGUCACUCAGCACCUGCCCACUGAGGAUCCAUGACUUAAAAUGGAACCCAGAGGAGUGAGGCAUAAAACCUCCUAAAAAGGGCUUCAGAGAACUGCCUUGCCUCCACCACAUAAGGACACAGCCAGACGUACAAAGGCAGCCAGGCCUUUCCAGGCCCUGAAUCUCCUGGCUCCUUGAUCUUGGACUUCCCAGCCUCCAGAACUCUGAGAAAUAAAUGUUGUUUAUAGGA